AAUUCCGUAAACGAAGCCCAAAGU
rnacentral:rasiRNA from 1 species